rnacentral:lncRNA from 1 species
AAUAAAUGACUUAGAUACUUAUAUGGUUCAGUUUCUAUUAUUUGCUAUUGGAUAAUGAUGUUUUCAGUUGGUUUUGGAAUGUAAUAAAGGAAUUUGUGUUUCUUGAAAUAAAAUAAUUUUCUACCCCUCGUGGUAGCAUUUUAAAAAGAUAAAAGUUCCUGCGUAGGGAACAGUUUUCAAAAGGUUUUCUGUAGAUUUUGUAUCUUAGUAUUUCAAAACCUGUUUCUGUGGUUGGAAACAUUUUAACUUAUAGAUGUGGAUUUAUGUUUAAAAAUGGAAUGUUAAAAUGUAAACCUGUGGUGAAUGGUGUAUGAAUAUAUAACUGUUGGUUGUUUGUAUGUUCAUCUGGUUGUGGUUGUACCUGGAUUACUUCUUGUACUUGUGCGACGCCGUGCAAAUAUAGGGGAGAUUCUGUCCAUGUGAACAGUGGAUUCCCUGUAUUUGUGGCGGAUCUGGCAUACUCUGGGGUCAGGUUCUCAAAAAAAAAAAAAAAAAAUUCAGACGCUUUUCCGCUAUGUUUUAAACUAAAAGGGACCCCGGGGCGUGACAUAAGAUUGGGUAGUGUAGAUAUUAUAUGCAAGGGUAUUAAGAUAUAUUCUAAUUUGAGAAUGCGAAGAAUAUUUUGAUGGAUAUUAUUUAAACAUUGAAUAUUUUACUAAAAAAAUUUAAAAUUAUAUUUAAUUAUUGAUUUAAUUUGAUUGGAUAGGUAUUAAUUUUUUUAGAAAUAUUCUAUACUUUUAUGACGCAUUAUUUAAAUAUUGAAUAUUUUGCUAAAAAUAU